GACAUUAGUGAGGCGAGGUGAGGUGCGGCGGGAACCGGCAGGGGAGGAGACGGCGAGGCAGCUGGUGGGUUGCGCGCGUGUGUUUGAACACAAACUGCACGGGGUAGGUGAGCGGAUGGUCGGAGCUCAUCGCAAUGGCUUGUCACGGUGAUGCGCGGAUGUUCCUGGAGCCGACUCAAGGCGCGCGAUAAUGGAGGCACGCAAGGUGGCGAGUCUGGCGGCUCAGAUGCGGCAGUGGUUGGAGGCAGAGAAGGAUGUUCCUGGAGACGGCGAAGGCGCGACGGAACUGGCCGAAGUGUGUCCACGACAGCGCCGCAAGCCUCUACGGCGGAGGUAGGUGUGGCGAGGUGAACAGAUUGACGGUGGCUACGGCAGGUGUGGCGGUUCGAGGCAGAGGCAGCCGGG
rnacentral:lncRNA from 1 species